UUUUCAACUUUCAAUUAUAUUACCAAAUCACUUAAAAUUGAGUGUGUUAAUAAUGUCAGUACCCUCAGUUUUCCUACAUUAUCUCUCUUGUUCACCCAAUGUUGGCACAAGAUGACAGAAUGUAAACACAGCAGGUAGCUUAGAGGAUAAGCUGCUCAUAGUUUUAACAUAAAUGCCUUAUUAACAGAAACGGGUGGUGAUCCUACAGUUUCACACCAUGACUACUUUUUCUAUCUUAUAAGUGAGAAAAAAGAGCAGUAGCGUUUCUCUUGAAGGGUGAAUAAAUACGAAGAUCUCAACAGAUAAGGAAGAAGACAAGGCAAGAGGCUUCUUAAGACGUUGCUCUGGAGGGGAUAACAUGAUCAAACAUUGACAAAUGGAGCGACGGUCAACAGGUUACCAAGAUGCGCCCCAAAUCCAUAAGUCCGCCCGCUGAACAGUUCACUACGGCAGGGGAUGCUGCCAGUUCCAGGAAGUCUCACUGGUGGAUCUUCCAUUGCAAUCUUCUGGGAACAGUAAGAUCAGCACGAAGAGGCUGCGCAUCUCCCCAAGAAAGAUGUAGAUCCUGACCUAAAGGACAAGAUCUCGGAUGUGAUUGACUGAAAUGAGCUUUCUCCUUUGGGUGGCUGGACUUAACCUCAAAGACAGGAUGAAGAGCAUCAUCUAGCAGAGGGAGAUAAACGAAAAGCUGUUGCUCCUCACUUUCGAAAGGAGUCAGAUCACAUCAGAUCAGAGAAACACCUGGACCUGCAUGUUAUAGACCUUAGAGA